rnacentral:rRNA from 1 species
GAUGAACGCUGGCGGCGUGCCUAAUACAUGCAAGUCGAGCGAACGGACGAGAAGCUUGCUUCUCUGAUGUUAGCGGCGGACGGGUGAGUAACACGUGGAUAACCUACCUAUAAGACUGGGAUAACUUCGGGAAACCGGAGCUAAUACCGGAUAAUAUUAUGAACCGCAUGGUUCAAAAGUGAAAGACGGUCUUGCUGUCACUUAUAGAUGGAUCCGCGCUGCAUUAGCUAGUUGGUAAGGUAACGGCUUACCAAGGAAACGAUGCAUAGCCGACCUGAGAGGGUGAUCGGCCACACUGGAACUGAGACACGGUCCAGACUCCUACGGGAGGCAGCAGUAGGGAAUCUUCCGCAAUGGGCGAAAGCCUGACGGUGCAACGCCGCGUGAGUGAUGAAGGUCUUCGGAUCGUAAAACUCUGUUAUUAGGGAAGAACAUAUGUGUAAGUAACUGUGCACAUCUUGACGGUACCUAAUCAGAAAGCCACGGCUAACUACGUG